AUUUUGAGGAACGCUAGUCUAAAUAUUUAAGCGCGCAAGGAGAAAAGAAAAAGGAAUCUCUUUUUUUCUGUUCUUUUGGAAAACCGUCGUGAAGGGAAGUAACGAAAAAGAAUUCUGGAGGAAGAAGGUUAGGAAUCGACCCUUCCCCUGCCUGCCUGAUCACCUUCGAAAGCAUGCAGGAGCAUGUUUCCCUCUGCGGAUGCUUGUGUUAGUAACUGAAGAAUUACGAUCGCGAUCGAUUCCCGCAUGAUCAUAGCUCAACUCUUGGUCGAUCGUCGUUUUUGGUUGAUCGUUCUGAUCGCUGAUAUCUCUGCUGCUAACCGAUUUCUGUUCGGAAUUUCUACUCUGAUCGUAUGAUUGUGGGUUAUAUUGAGGCUGCAUUUCUUUCAGUUGUAAUUUCCGUCGAUAAUCCCAUUUGUGCUUGUGUGAUUUGAUGUUUGCCUAUGUGAAUGAUUGUGUUAGUAUCUGGAGAAUUACGAUCGCGAUCAAUUCCUGCCUGAUCAUAGUUCAACUCUUGGUUGAUCGCUGUUUUUCGUUGAUCGUUCUGGUCACUAUUCCGAUUGUUGAUCUCUGCUGCUGAUCGAUUUCUGUUAGGAAUUUCUACUCUGAUCGCACGAUUGUGGGCUGUAUUGAGGCUACAUUUCUUCCAGUCAUAAUUUCUGUCGGGAUUCCUGUUUGUGCUUGUGUGUCUACCUAUGUGAAUGAUUGUGUUAGUAUCUGGAGAAGUACGAUCGCGGUCCAUUCCCUCCUGAUCAUAGUUCAACUCUUGUUCGAUCACCGUUUUUCGUUGAUUGUUCUGAUCGCUAUUCUGACUGCUGAUAUCUCUACUGCUGGUCGAUUUUUUUUCGGAAUUUUUACUCUGAUAUCAUGAUUGUGGGUUGUAUUGAGGCUGCAUUACUUUCAGUUGUAAUUUCCAUCGUGAAUCCUGUUUGUGCUUGCGUUAUUUGAUGUUUGUCUCUGGGAAUGAUCAUGCUAAUAUCUGGAGAACUACGAUCGUGAUCCAUCCCUACAUCAUCAUAGUUCAACAAUUGGCUGAUCGCCGUUGUUCGUUGAUCGUUCUGAUCGCUAUCCCCAUUGCUGAUAUCUCUGCUGCUGGCCGAUUUCUGUUCGGAAUUUCUACUCUUAUUUCAUGCUCGUAAUAAUCAUCUUAUGAUCAUAGUUCAACUCUGAUCGUUCUGAUCGCCUGAUUGUGGGUUGUAUUGUUUUGAAACAGGAUUCCCAAGUUGAAAUGAUCAUCUUCUGAAAGAAAUGCAGAAGAUGCAGCAAAGUGCAGGCCAAGUAGGAACAGGCAUCUCAUAACGGUUGUUGGUGGGCUGAUGUUUGUUGGGGCUUUUAUGUUUCUCCUUCAACUUGGGAAGGGACUUCAAAAUCCAAAGACUGUUUUCUACAAGACCUACAUCUUUGUUCUAAUUGCAUAUGCAAGUGUCCAGCUGGCCUUUAGCCUACUCAUGCGCAUUCCAGCUUGUCAUAGGCUGACGAACCGAUGUGAUCAAUGGCCUGUUAUGAGAUUUAUCAAGUGGAUGCAUCAGGAAAGGCAUUAUGUUGGACGAGGAAUGUAUGAGCGAACAACUGACUUUAUCAAAUAAGGCAAUUGGUCAAUCCUACAAAAAUUAUUAUAAGUCUUAAUGGGCUAGAGUAUUCGUGGCAUGAUCUUGUAUCAAAACGAAGGAUAUGAGGACAUGUUGGAACUGAAAUCGAUUCAAGAAAUGUAGAAGUAUGUCAAUACGAAAACACAGAAAAUAUCUCUGCUUCUGAAAAAGCGGAUUACCACACCAAAUUGGAUCAAGCAUAAGGAGCGCAGAGAAGUUCACAUGUUCGUAGACCUGCUUCUUCAAGAGGAGAUAAGGCAUAUCUAAUCAUGGAGCUUCCAAUGGAGCAAUCCUAAUCUUCUCAGAAAUUUCUUGAGUUUAGUUCCUGGGUGCAAAAUAGAGCUGCAAGCUGCAGAAAGCGAAGUCAAGCAGAUUUUAGUUCGCUGCUCAACGCCAAAGCAUCAUCGCUCUGACAGCACUGGUAGUGCAAAUUCCUCUCGCGGUAACCCUCUUCGGGACGAAAAAAUUAGCAUACACAGCAAGUUCGAAGCCAACUGCUUGAAAGUCAUCUUGCUAAGAUUUUAAAGCAAAAAAUGGAGAUCUUCACAAAAAUUGAGUUUACGCAGGAGUCUGUGAUCUCAACCAUUGUGAAACUCUGCUUGAAAAGCUUUGUACAGUUUGGGAGACUCCAGACUUUUAACCACAGUGGAUUUCAGCAAAUCUAGUUGGACAUGCAGUUCCUUUGAGCGCCUCUUAAAGAAAUUGCCGAUGAUGAUGCAGCUAUUGAUUUCCUACUUGAUGAGGUCUGUGUGGCAGCUGCAGAACGUUGUCUUGAUUCAAUUCCUCUAGAGCCAGCUAUUUUGGAGAAACUGAUCCAGGCAAAAUUGCCCAAGAGUUGAUCAAUGGAGCUGAUGGUUUGAAAAAUAUCCGAUGCAUUAUUCUGCGGGCCAACAGGCAGUUAAUUGGUUGAAGUUGCUUGGGAAGAGUCGUCAAACAAAGCCUCAUCUGUCCAUUUUUAAUCCCUUCUUGCGUAGUUGCAACCAAAAUUCAGACCUUGCAAAUGAGUGUUUGCAACUGAUGGACAAACAAUUUAUCUGCAGGUCUGAGGAAACCUAUGGAGAGCUUCUUAAGGCACGUGCACAUUACGGGCGGCCCAUAGCCGAGAGACAACCCCCGUGGUGGCCAAGAACAGUAUGGAUCCAUUCAACCGCUGCAACAGUAGAGCACUCAUCCAUGGAUGUGUGAAUUCCAAGGAGAGGUACUCAGCCUUCCCUAGGACACCCAGGUUGGGAAGGCGGGAGCCCAACGCUUCAAGCACAUCACACAACAGUACCCUGGGGCCUUGCACCGCCUGCGCUCCGAACAGGCGAGACCAGUGGCGAAAGCGGGACGUCUCCCAAACACAUAGCCACAUCCCACUGCUGCAAGCUGCAGAAAGCGAAGUCAAGCAGAUUUUAGUUCGCUGCUCAACGCCAAAGCAUCAUCGCUCUGACAGCACUGGUAGUGCAAAUUCCUCUCGCGGUAACCCUCUUCGGGACGAAAAAAUUAGCAUACACAGCAAGUUCGAAGCCAACUGCUUGAAAGUCAUCUUGCUAAGAUUUUAAAGCAAAAAAUGGAGAUCUUCACAAAAAUUGAGUUUACGCAGGAGUCUGUGAUCUCAACCAUUGUGAAACUCUGCUUGAAAAGCUUUGUACAGUUUGGGAGACUCCAGACUUUUAACCACAGUGGAUUUCAGCAAAUCUAGUUGGACAUGCAGUUCCUUUGAGCGCCUCUUAAAGAAAUUGCCGAUGAUGAUGCAGCUAUUGAUUUCCUACUUGAUGAGGUCUGUGUGGCAGCUGCAGAACGUUGUCUUAUUCAAUUCCUCUAGAGCCAGCUAUUUUGGAGAAACUGAUCCAGGCAAAAUUGCCCAAGAGUUGAUCAAUGGAGCUGAUGGUUUGAAAAAUAUCCGAUGCAUUAUUCUGUGGGCCAACAGGUGGUCAUUCGCACACUGGCCUGUGCAUGCUUCACUGUCACCACUUUUUUCUGUAUUUCCCAAGAUCAUGGCUUGUGUGGGCCACUGUCAGAGGAGUUUGGCAGUUCGUUUGCGUUCUCUUGGGUAAUGCGGCACUUUAAACUGAGCUCUUUCCAUCACAUGCUCAUGGUCUUACCGUGCGCAGACCUUGCAGGCAGGUUCUUCUAGAAAUUCAUGAAUAAAAUGUAACUGCCACGUUGUGUUGGGACAGUCCCAACUUUCUUCUCAAAAUUGAAUUGAGAAGGCUUUUGUUGCUUAAAGGGAGAUACUGCUCAAGGAUCUGUUGUAAGUAAUACCUUACUCUGGUUGACUUUUCAUAUAUACUUGUAUAGUGCACGCAGCGCUGGUUGGUUGUUCCCGGUUUAUAUAGUUACCGGCCUAGGUUUUUGACAUUGUACAUUCGGGUUAUGGAGCUUGUUAGAAACUUCCAAGGCAGUUCAGCACUAUCUUUCUGUGGUGAGUACAUGGCAUUUUCUUUCUUUCUUUGUAUAAACAAGCUAUGGUAGCAGAUCCGACCAAAUGGCAGUGGCAUAUUGAAUUUCUUCAGAUUGAAGUUCUCAAGUCCAGCCCCGGUUGGUGAUUGAAACUCUUGUUGACAAAAGGUAUGUUAUUUUUGUCAAUCUACAUAAUUUCAGUUGCUUUCUCAAAAACAUUGCCGUCCAGGCUGUGCUUGCAAUUGAACAGUUGGAGUGAGAAUAGUGCGUUUAGAAGAUGGCAGCUGCUAAUUUGUGUUUGCCCAGUGUGUGGCAGUAAAGAUCUCACUUUGUGGUGAUACGUUCUCUUUUCAUUUUUAAAAUCUACACAAAUACCCCCUUAAUUAAGGAUGGGCAGUGGGCUUACGAUUUGACAUUGGAGCUGGCCCAAAAUUUUUUAUUUCAACUCCAUCAACAUAAGCAGUACAUGCAUGAGUACAUGCAUGAACAGUGUGUGGACAUGAUACUCCCUUUUUCCUAGUGGACCGCCGACGUGAUGCAAGCCUUAUUUAGCCCUGCUUUUAGGAUUCCAUGGUGACGUUCGGCCAGGGGGCAGUAGGACUGCCUUGCAGCCAUGGUUGGUGCGGUGGUCGAGCUCACGAAAGUGGCGACUUUGGUUGGCCAUGCUUUUGAUUGUUGGAAGAUUUUUAACUAUAAGUUGUCGGCUCAAGUUUCAGCAUGAUGCAAGUACAAAAAGGGAGAUAUGACACUUGAAAGCCGUAGAACAGAAACAGACGUAGGAGCCAAUUCUAUCUGAUGCACAAUCAACCAAAUUUAAAAAAAUUGUAACUCCUUUGUCUGCUGGUUGAGUCAUGUAAUAUGUUGUUGUUGGGAAGAUAAUUUCAAGACCUUUUCAAUGAGUAUAGGCAUGCAAGGAUCCUACACCGUUAUAGGACGAUUUGCUGGAAAAGCCACAGAUGAGGACAGUUGCCACAUGAAUCGAUGGAUGUAUAGGUCUUCCGAUCGGCUGGAUUUUGUGUUGAUGGAGUAGAUCAGGGCCUACGAUUCCUUAAAAGAGAUCUACGUUUAGGGUAGAGUUUUCGAUAGAGUUCUUGCUUGCUGGGGAGCUCCACAUCAAGGGUGAAGCUGCAAUGCAUGGACCUUGCAGGAUGGUCGUGGAAUGUUGUCGCACAGUUUGGGAUUGAGGACAGAGGAAAGAGGGUGGUGGUACUCAAAUAAUUUGUUCGUACUUUUUAAAGAACUUGCUAUAGAUUCAAAUACUCUUGUAUAUGAAUUAUCAUUUUCUUUUAGGUGUUUACCUAAAGAGAUCAUUAAAUCGAUUAUUGUGUUAAGAUGAGAUUUGUUACUAUGAAACUCAUGUUGG